rnacentral:rRNA from 1 species
UACGUAGGGUGCGAGCGUUGUCCGGAAUUAUUGGGCGUAAAGAGCUUGUAGGCGGUUUGUCGCGUCUGCUGUGAAAAUCCGGGGCUCAACCCCGGACUUGCAGUGGGUACGGGCAGACUAGAGUGUGGUAGGGGAGACUGGAAUUCCUGGUGUAGCGGUGAAAUGCGCAGAUAUCAGGAGGAACACCGGUGGCGAAGGCGGGUCUCUGGGCCGGAACUGACGCUAAGGAGCGAAAGCGUGGGGAGCGAACAGG